rnacentral:rRNA from 1 species
UUCCUACGGGAGGCAGCAGUGGGGAAUAUUGGGCAAUGGGCGCAAGCCUGACCCAGCAACGCCGCGUGAAGGAAGAAGGCUUUCGGGUUGUAAACUUCUUUUCUGGGGGACGAAGAAAGUGACGGUACCCCAGGAAUAAGCCACGGCUAACUACGUGCCAGCAGCCGCGGUAAUACGUAGGUGGCAAGCGUUAUCCGGAUUUAUUGGGUGUAAAGGGCGUGUAGGCGGGAAUGCAAGUCAGAUGUGAAAACUAUGGGCUUAACCUGUAGAAAGCAUAUAAAACUGUUUAACUAGAGUGCAGGAGA